GCGCGUGCCCCUUCCUUUAGCGCGCACACCAGUCCGCGCCCGACAACGCGAUGGCAGCAGUUCUAAUCCCACUGCAGUCAAAUGAUAAGAGGAGUAUGGGAAAUAAAGAACAAUCUGGAGUGAAAGAGCUUUGCAGUGUGCCCUGUGCAGUCAAAGCCGUCAGGCAAGAGGAAGUGCCACCCCAGCCACUUGAUAUCACUUCUGCUCCUUCCUGAAUAAGCUCCUUCUAGACCUUCAUUUAUACAACACCCCGACACAGGAAGGUCAGUGGAAAAUGUCCAAGGAUGCAUAGUUGUCAUGAUCCGAGGCUAACUUUAGAAACAGAAGGUAUUAUUUUUCCUUUUUUUAUUUUUACAAAGCCUUUAAUUUUUUGUUUCAAAUCUUUGCUGAAUUAAAUAGGUUAUCCCAUCUGGGACCCCAACACUUUUUUUUACGUUUCUCUCUACUUUAUUAGCAUCAGCCAUGAGGUUCUUCCCUUGAAAGAGUCUGUAGCAAAAGUUUGUAGCAGAAUUCAUUCCCAUAAACUUGUACAUGGAGUAAAAUGUAAGCUCCUGCCACCUAUAGUCAGAAAGAAAUUAAUAAAUUAAUAAAACAUGUUUUAAAAUAUCCCACCAAUAUGCAGGUGUUUUCUUUGCUGUAAGAAAAGGGCCUAACUGUACAUAUAUUAGUCUUGUGUCACAUCUUCACGCUUUUGCUUUUUCUUUCUAAGGAGACCUUGUAAUGUUGUUUCAUUCAGAAUUUGUCUCUAUUAAGUAUCCCAGCCAUAGUGGCCAUAAUUCUUAAUAUGUUGUGCUCCUCAGUGACUACUGAGUGGACUUCAUGCAGUCUCAAUGAAUUGCUGGCAAUGUUCUCUAUUUGCAUAAUUGAUCUACUCAGCAUUGCCUGGAGUCGCUGCCAAUCCAGUCUCACAAUUGACGACAUCAUUCAAAUUACAUCUGCAAUAUUAGCCCUUUGUAUUUGCCUCUGAGCUACUCCACCACCUCACAGUAUCUCUUAACUGCAAUGUUCUGUGUGCUGCUCAGUUUUUCAAUUGUCCUUGCUUGUCUUACUUCACCCUUUCUUGCACACACUAAUUCCUCUUUUGUACAAGACCAAUUGCAAACUGAGCAAUACUCCAGAAGAUGUCUACAUUUAUGCACACUAUUUGUAUCACCAGAUAUUUCCUGUGGGUUUAAGUUAAUCCACUGAUUUGUGUAAGUUUUAAAGAGUAGAGUUUACUGUCCAGCAAAUAUGCCCCUAGCUUUAUUUAUUCUGUGGCAGAGUAGGAUAGCACUGUGCUCAAUAGGUUAGUGAUGUAGACCAGAUCAACCCCAGUUUGUCAUGAAAUUGAGUCUUCACAAAGUAAGACAAGGAACAGGCCAGGAACUUAACAAACCUGCCCAGAAGAUGUGACCCGACAUUUGCGCGAUAGACAUAUAAGCGGCGACAAAAUAGCGUAGAUUAAAACGCGGCGUCAAAAUCGCGCAGACAA